rnacentral:rRNA from 1 species
ACGGGAGGCAGCAGUGGGGAAUAUUGCACAAUGGGGGAAACCCUGAUGCAGCGACGCCGCGUGAGUGAAGAAGUAUUUCGGUAUGUAAAGCUCUAUCAGCAGGGAAGAAAAUGACGGUACCUGACUAAGAAGCCCCGGCUAACUACGUGCCAGCAGCCGCGGUAAUACGGAGGAUGCAAGCGUUAUCCGGAUUUAUUGGGUUUAAAGGGUGCGUAGGCGGAAGAGUAAGUCAGUGGUGAAAUACCCUCGCUCAACGAGGGGGCUGCCAUUGAUACUGCUUUUCUAGAGUGCGAACGGCGCCGGCGGAAUGUGUCAUGUAGCGGUGAAAUGCUUAGAGAUGACACAGAACACCGAUCGCGAAGGCAGCUGGCGAGCACGACACUGACGCUGAGGCACGAAGGUGCGGGGAUCAAACAGGAUUAGAUACCCUGGUA